GAUGAACGCUGGCGGCGUGCCUAACACAUGCAAGUCGAGCGGAGAAUUGUUGCUUGCAACAAUUCUUAGCGGCGGACGGGUGAGUAACACGUGGGUAACCUGCCCUAAACAAAGGGAUAACAAUGAGAAAUCAUUGCUAAUACCGUAUAAGCUUACGCUAUCGCGUGAUAGAGUAAGAAAAGAUUUAUCGGUUUAGGAGGGGCCCGCGUCUGAUUAGCUAGUUGGAGAGGUAACGGCUCACCAAGGCGACGAUCAAUAGCCGACCUGAGAGGGUGAUCGGCCACAUCGGGACUGGGACACGGCACAAACUCCUACUGGAGGCAGCAGGGGGGAAUAUUGCACAAUGGCGGAAACUCUGAUGCAGGAACGCCGAGUGAAGGAAGAAGUUUUUCGGAUCGUAAACUUCUAUCUACAGGGAAGAAAAAAAUGACGGUACCUGAGGAAGAAGCCCCGGCUAACUACGUG
rnacentral:rRNA from 1 species